CCGAGAUCAAAUUCUACCAGUGAGACAGAGCAGUUGUCGUUGUGAAUGUCAGUAGUGCUUGCUGAUCUGCCUGGAGAGAGAGAGUCCAGAGCGCACAGGUUCUUACCUGCUCAAAUCCUGCUCUCCUAGUUCCCUGAUGCCAUGCCAAACUAAUUGUGAUGUCCGUGCCACACUAACUG